rnacentral:rRNA from 1 species
UACGGAGGGGGCUAGCGUUGUUCGGAAUUACUGGGCGUAAAGCGCACGUAGGCGGCUUUGUAAGUUAGAGGUGAAAGCCCGGGGCUCAACUCCGGAAUUGCCUUUAAGACUGCAUCGCUAGAAUUGUGGAGAGGUAAGUGGAAUUCCGAGUGUAGAGGUGAAAUUCGUAGAUAUUCGGAAGAACACCAGUGGCGAAGGCGACUAACUGGACAAGUACUGACGCUGAGGUACGAAAGCGUGGGGAGCAAACAGG